GGGGCUGACCGGUUUUGACAGCGAGGUUAGUGGAUCUGUAAGCAUGCCGGGCGUUGUGUGUGUGGCCCGUUAAUCCCAAUGCUCACGCCAGUUAAAUGGCAACGAUUACAAUUACGCCUUAGCUGCUUAAUUUAGAAUUAGGCACUGGCUGCUUCCCGGGAAACUACUCCCUGCCGUGUCCCGUCAGAAGCAUCGUAAAAGCGGGGAUAGUUCAGUCAGUGCCCUGAUGCCUGAGCAAAACUUUAAGGGAUAAGGAUAGGGUAGGACGGCUUUUUUCCGGCUUUAUCACGAAAAACAAUAGAAAGCUAAGCAUGUAGAAAGCAUUUCUGCUACUUGUUUGGACGAGAGUUCGAAUCUCUCCAGCUCCACCA
rnacentral:tmRNA from 1 species